GACUACUGGGUUUUUAGGACAGGUGAUCUUUCGUUAAGCACUGCCCUUUGUCAAGAAUGUACUAAAGGCAUUAUUAUUUUAAUUUUAUUUUAUGUCAUUUGAUUAAUGGGUUUAUUUCUGAAUUUAUUCAUCUUUUUCCCCCUCGUUUCUUUGGUCUACAAGUUUUUCAAUCAAAGUGGUUGUAUGACCAAUUAUUUGAAGUUUUUGGCUUUUCAUUUGCACCAACCCCCCCU
rnacentral:misc_RNA from 1 species